GGUUAAGUUAGAAAGGGCGCACGGUGGAUGCCUUGACACUAGGAGUCGAUGAAGGACGGGACUAACGCCGAUAUGCUUCGGGGAGCUGUAAGUAAGCUUUGAUCCGAAGAUUUCCGAAUGGGGAAACCCACCAUACGUAAUGGUAUGGUAUCCUUAUCUGAAUACAUAGGGUAAGGAAGACAGACCCAGGGAACUGAAACAUCUAAGUACCUGGAGGAAGAGAAAGCAAAUGCGAUUUCCUGAGUAGCGGCGAGCGAAACGGAACAUAGCCCAAACCAAGAGGCUUGCCUCUUGGGGUUGUAGGACAUUCUAUACGGAGUUACAAAGGAACGAGGUAGACGAAGCGACCUGGAAAGGUCCGUCGUAGAGGGUAACAACCCCGUAGUCGAAACUUCGUUCUCUCUUGAAUGUAUCCUGAGUACGGCGGAACACGUGAAAUUCCGUCGGAAUCUGGGAGGACCAUCUCCCAAGGCUAAAUACUCCCUAGUGAUCGAUAGUGAACCAGUACCGUGAGGGAAAGGUGAAAAGCACCCCGGAAGGGGAGUGAAAGAGAUCCUGAAACCGUGUGCCUACAAAUAGUCAGAGCCCGUUAACGGGUGAUGGCGUGCCUUUUGUAGAAUGAACCGGCGAGUUACGAUCCCGUGCGAGGUUAAGCUGAAGAGGCGGAGCCGCAGCGAAAGCGAGUCUGAAUAGGGCGUUUAGUACGUGGUCGUAGACCCGAAACCAGGUGAUCUACCCAUGUCCAGGGUGAAGUUCAGGUAACACUGAAUGGAGGCCCGAACCCACGCACGUUGAAAAGUGCGGGGAUGAGGUGUGGGUAGCGGAGAAAUUCCAAUCGAACCUGGAGAUAGCUGGUUCUCCCCGAAAUAGCUUUAGGGCUAGCCUUAAGUGUAAGAGUCUUGGAGGUAGAGCACUGAUUGGACUAGGGGUCCUCAUCGGAUUACCGAAUUCAGUCAAACUCCGAAUGCCAAUGACUUAUCCUUAGGAGUCAGACUGCGAGUGAUAAGAUCCGUAGUCAAAAGGGAAACAGCCCAGACCGCCAGCUAAGGUCCCAAAGUGUGUAUUAAGUGGAAAAGGAUGUGGAGUUGCUUAGACAACUAGGAUGUUGGCUUAGAAGCAGCCACCAUUUAAAGAGUGCGUAAUAGCUCACUAGUCGAGUGACUCUGCGCCGAAAAUGUACCGGGGCUAAAUACACCACCGAAGCUGCGGAUUGAUACCGAAUGGUAUCAGUGGUAGGGGAGCGUUCUAAGGACAGUGAAGUCAGACCGGAAGGACUGGUGGAGUGCUUAGAAGUGAGAAUGCCGGUAUGAGUAGCGAAAGACGGGUGAGAAUCCCGUCCACCGAAUGCCUAAGGUUUCCUGAGGAAGGCUCGUCCGCUCAGGGUUAGUCAGGACCUAAGCCGAGGCCGACAGGCGUAGGCGAUGGACAACAGGUUGAUAUUCCUGUACCACCUCUUUAUCGUUUGAGCAAUGGAGGGACGCAGAAGGAUAGAAGAAGCGUGCGAUUGGUUGUGCACGUCCAAGCAGUUAGGCUGAUAAGUAGGCAAAUCCGCUUAUCAUAAAGGCUGAGCUGUGAUGGGGAAGCUCCUUAUGGAGCGAAGUCUUUGAUUCCCCGCUGCCAAGAAAAGCUUCUAGCGAGAUAAAAGGUGCCUGUACCGCAAACCGACACAGGUAGGCGAGGAGAGAAUCCUAAGGUGUGCGAGAGAACUCUGGUUAAGGAACUCGGCAAAAUGACCCCGUAACUUCGGGAGAAGGGGUGCUUUCUUAACGGAAAGCCGCAGUGAAUAGGCCCAAGCGACUGUUUAGCAAAAACACAGCUCUCUGCGAAGCCGUAAGGCGAAGUAUAGGGGGUGACACCUGCCCGGUGCUGGAAGGUUAAGGAGAGGGGUUAGCGUAAGCGAAGCUCUGAACUGAAGCCCCAGUAAACGGCGGCCGUAACUAUAACGGUCCUAAGGUAGCGAAAUUCCUUGUCGGGUAAGUUCCGACCCGCACGAAAGGUGUAACGAUUUGGGCACUGUCUCAACCAGAGACUCGGUGAAAUUAUAGUACCUGUGAAGAUGCAGGUUACCCGCGACAGGACGGAAAGACCCCGUGGAGCUUUACUGUAGCCUGAUAUUGAAUUUUGGUACAGUUUGUACAGGAUAGGCGGGAGCCAUUGAAACCGGAGCGCUAGCUUCGGUGGAGGCGCUGGUGGGAUACCGCCCUGACUGUAUUGAAAUUCUAACCUACGGGUCUUAUCGACCCGGGAGACAGUGUCAGGUGGGCAGUUUGACUGGGGCGGUCGCCUCCUAAAGUGUAACGGAGGCGCCCAAAGGUUCCCUCAGAAUGGUUGGAAAUCAUUCGUAGAGUGCAAAGGCAUAAGGGAGCUUGACUGCGAGACCUACAAGUCGAGCAGGGACGAAAGUCGGGCUUAGUGAUCCGGUGGUUCCGCAUGGAAGGGCCAUCGCUCAACGGAUAAAAGCUACCCCGGGGAUAACAGGCUUAUCUCCCCCAAGAGUCCACAUCGACGGGGAGGUUUGGCACCUCGAUGUCGGCUCAUCGCAUCCUGGGGCUGUAGUCGGUCCCAAGGGUUGGGCUGUUCGCCCAUUAAAGCGGUACGCGAGCUGGGUUCAGAACGUCGUGAGACAGUUCGGUCCCUAUCCGUCGUGGGCGUAGGAAAUUUGAGAGGAGCUGUCCUUAGUACGAGAGGACCGGGAUGGACGCACCGCUGGUGUACCAGUUGUUCUGCCAAGGGCAUAGCUGGGUAGCUAUGUGCGGAAGGGAUAAGUGCUGAAAGCAUCUAAG
rnacentral:rRNA from 1 species